GGCAGGAUGGCCGAGCGGUUAAGGCGCUGCACUCAAGAAUUAUUCUUUCCAGAUUAAAAUUUGGUUGACUUGCAGUAUCGAAAGGUGCGUGGGUUCGAGUCCCACUCCUGUCA
rfam:Sporothrix schenckii ATCC 58251 unplaced genomic scaffold supercont1.4, whole genome shotgun sequence.